rnacentral:rRNA from 1 species
AACGAACGCUGGCGGCAUGCCUAACACAUGCAAGUCGAACGAGACCUUCGGGUCUAGUGGCGCACGUGUGCGUAACGCGUGGGAACCUGCCCUUAGGUUCGGAAUAACUCCCCGAAAGGGGUGCUAAUACCGGAUAAUGUCUUCGGACCAAAGAUUUAUGGCCUUUGGAUGGGCCCGCGUUGGAUUAGCUAGUUGGUAGGGUAAUAGCCUACCAAGGCGACGAUCCAUAGCUGGUCUGAGAGGAUGAUCAGCAACACUGGGACUGAGACACGGCCCAGACUCCGACGGGAGGCAGCAGUGGGGAAUAUUGGACAAUGGGCGAAAGCCUGAUCCAGCAAUGCCGCGUGAGUGAUGAAGGCCUUAGGGUUGUAAAGCUCUUUUACCCGGGAUGAUAAUGACGGUAACGGGAGAAUAAGCUCCGGCUAACUCCGUG